rnacentral:miRNA from 1 species
CACCGGCCCGCGGGCUCCCCA